GUGCCAGCAGCCGCGGUAAUACGGAGGUUGCAAGCGUUAUCCGGAUUUAUUGGGUUUAAAGGGUGCGUAGGCGGAACUAUAAGUCAGUGGUGAAAUCCUGUCGCUUAACGAUAGCAUUGCCAUUGAUACUGUAGUCCUUGAGUAUAGUUGAGGUGGGCGGAAUGUGUAGUGUAGCGGUGAAAUGCUUAGAUAUUACACAGAACACCGAUUGCGUAGGCAGCUCACUAAACUAUAACUGACGCUGAGGCACGAAAGCGUGGGGAUCAAACAGGAUUAGAUACCCCGGUAGUCC
rnacentral:rRNA from 1 species